UACGUAGGGUGCGAGCGUUAAUCGGAAUUACUGGGCGUAAAGUGUGCGCAGGCGGCGUUGCAAGUCGAGUGUGAAAUCCCCGAGCUUAACUUGGGAAUUGCGCUCGAAACUACGAUGCUCGAGUAUGGCAGAGGAAGGUGGAAUUCCACGUGUAGCGGUGAAAUGCGUAGAUAUCGGGAGGAAUACCAGUGGCGAAGGCGGCUUUCUGGGCCUGUUCUGACGCUGAGGAGCGAAAGCGUGGGGAGCAAACCGG
rnacentral:rRNA from 1 species